rnacentral:ncRNA from 1 species
ACCGCUGAGUUUAAGCAUAUCAAUAAGCGGAGGAAAAGAAACUAACAAGGAUUCCCUUAGUAACGGCGAGUGAACCGGGAAGAGCCUUGCUUGAAAAUCGGAUGUCUUUGGCGUUCGAAUUGUAGUCUGGAGAAGCGUCCUCAGCGACGGACUGGGCCCAAGUUCCCUGGAAAGGGGCGCCAGAGAGGGUGAGAGCCCCGUCGUGCCCGGACCUUGUCGCACCACGAGGCGCUGUCUAUGUGACACCCCCGAUCGUAGGUGACCGAAAAUGACACGGUCGAUGUUCCUCGAUGAUCGAUCCGAGUAUCUCAGAAUACUUCCGAUCACCUUAGACCGACAACCAAAGAACACCAACG